rnacentral:rRNA from 1 species
UAUAGGUUUUCGUUCCGGAGAGGGAGCCUGAGAAACGGCUACCACAUCCAAGGAAGGCAGCAGGCGCGCAAAUUCCCCAAUCCCGAUACGGGGAGGUAGUGACAAUAAAUACUGAUACGGGGCUCUUUUGGGUCUUGUAAUUGGAAUGAGAACAAUUUAAAUCCCUUAACGAGGAACAAUUGGAGGGCAAGUCUGGUCCCAGCAGCCGCGGUAAUUCCAGCUCCAAUAGCGUAUAUUAAAGUUGUCGCAGUUAAAAAGCUUGUAGUUGAACCUUGGGUCUGGCUGGCCGGUCCCCCUCACCGCGAGUACUGUCCGGCUGGACCUUUCCUUCUGGGGAACCUCAUGGCCUUCACUGGCUGUGGGGGGAACCAGGACUUUUACUGUGAAAAAAUUAGAGUGUUCAAAGCAGGCCUUUGCUCGAAUACAUUAGCAUGGAAUAAUAGAAUAGGACGUGCGGUUCUAUUUUGUUGGUUUCUAGGACCGCCGUAAUGAUUAAUAGGGAUAGUCGGGGGCGUCAGUAUUCAGCUGUCAGAGGUGAAAUCUUGGAUUUCUAAGCU